CGGGUACCUCCGGCAGGGAUGGUGCCUGCAGGCUCCAGUUUGAGGGAUGGUCCUUUGGGGACGGGGGGGGCGGGGAGUCUGCUGAGAAAUGUGCAUUACAGGCCUGCCUGCUGAUUAGGCUGCUAUCUGUCACUUAUGUGACCGAAAGCUCGGCGCUCUGCACAGAGAUGACGCGGAAUAGUUUGCUGACGACCACAGAUGACUGAGC
rnacentral:lncRNA from 1 species